AAAAGAAAAAACAAGAAAGUUCAGUUGCCUCCUGAAAAAGCACCUUUGGGACAACCAUGACCUGGAUGACUGACAAUCUCUACAGACUUCUUGCCAAGAAAACUGCAGGAUCCUACUCAACGAUGGACGCACGUGGAGGCGACAUAUAAAUCAGCUCCGGUACAGGGCCGCCCGUCCGUUGGACCAGACCCCACCAGUUACUGACGGCGCACCACCCACUGACGGGCCCGCACCAUGGCUAGUUGCACCAAGUCUCGUUCCAACCGAAUCGUUCUCGUCGGCUGACUUACCUGAGGUUCCUGGCAGGGAUUCACCUUCGAAACCAUCAUCGGCGAACACAGCGCAACCGCCGGCGAUUCCGCUUCCAGUUGAAGUGACUCCGCCUUCCGCAGGUCCAUCUCCACCCCAGACUCCUUCUGUUCCGCUAUUACGUAGGUCUGGGCGGAGCCGACACCGACCAGCGUAUUUGAAUGACUACGCAUGCGCCAUCCGGAUGGAGAGGGGUGUUGAGUCCUCGCGGCCACAUCAUCAAGUCAGCGGGGUUGUUGCUAGUCCACGCGGAUUGGCUAAGACGCGAGCAAGGAACUAGCGGGAGAUUCCUGCUCGCGUAUUGGUUAACCCCGUUCCUCAGGUUCCUUUUUAAGCAGCUAUCAGUUCGCCUUCACCUGAGUUGUUAUUGUUGUUGAGUUCUCUUCGUUGUUCAAUAAAAGUUGGUGUUACUGCA